GCCAGGUCCUCUUUUAAAUUGUAAUACAUAAAAAAAAAAGAAAAAAAUGUUUGAUUAAUUUUUCAGGCUCUCUUUAAAAAGCAACCCUGUAAACACUAUAACAACUUUAGCUCAUUAAAGUGGUUAUAGUGUCUGGAGUUGCUUACGUCCAGCUUAAUGCCGCAUAAGAGUCCGCAGAAACCCAUCCCCUUUGUGCUGCUUGGGCUAAUAAGCAAACAUUAGCUUGAGCAGUAAUGGAUAGCUGGGAGUGACUGAGUGCCAGCUGACCACUUUCAGCCUAUCACAGCACCCAUUGCAGGUAUGAAUUGGUAUGGCAUGGCUAGAAGGAAAUGUUAAAUCUCUGCCUUAGCCAUUCUUCUCUGUGGGUGGCCAGAAACCCUUAUUUAGUAUUAAACUGCUAAAAAUGGUUUAAAACUGAAUUGUGGGACUGCACUAGAAGAAAUUCAAUGAGACAGUAGUGCUACUAUUGCUUAAAAUGUCCCUUUACAAUAGGCUGUCAUGCCUAAUAUUCUCCCAUGUUUUGAUUCAUGCUCUUUACUUCGCUGCCAUAGGUGGAGUGAAAAGAAUAUCAUGUAGGCCACGCUCCAUUUUUGAUCUUCUUAGAGACAGUACUCAAAUGCCAUGACAUGUGGGCAAAGUAUGCUUCCAAUAUGUGCACACGAGACAUGUUUUCUCUUCGGAUAUUGGCUUUAUCCAGCAAAAAAGGCAUAUCAGAGGAAAAAGUAAGUUGUGCUGGAUGUAAUAUACAUGGGUGGCAUAAAGAAAGUAGAACAGAGGGGAGAGAGAUGUAUGGACUCCUGACUGUCUCCCUUCUCUCCCUCCUAUUUCUAACAGUAUUUCACUGGAUUCCGACAAUAUUCAACAAGUUUUAGAAACUUACAAUAAAAAGAAAUGUAAAAAAAAAAAAAACACUUGAAAAUUGAAAAAGUUUUAUAUUUUAAUCAACUGCAUCAUACACACACGCAUAACACAAAAAAACCCCACCCUUACGAAAUCCUAAUAAACAGCAUAAUUAAAAAAGCAGAUCAUUAAGUACAAAGAAAGAUAAAAGAAAUAAUAAAAUGGAGACACACUGUAUUGCAAAGUAAAUACUGCUCGCUCUGCAGUCAGGUCACUGAAACAGUCAUAAGGGCAGAGAUAUGCCAUGAAUUCUGUUUAAAAAAAAAAAUAAAAAAAAAUUUAAAACACAAACAAAUCAAAAAGAAUAUUGCAAACAAGGGGACUCCAGAAAUGUCUGCACACAAACUGCAGUUUAUACAGAUAACGUGAAGGCUGCCAUUUGUUUUUCAAGGCUACAUUAUAAGGACACUGAAUGAUUGCAAAAAACAUGAAGAAAAAAAAAAAAAAUCAAUUUCAGUGCAAUAAGAGUCAAAAUGUCGACUACAGAUUAAUUUAUCUAAUAGGAAGCCUUUUGAAUUGUAUAUUCCAUCACCAGUCAUUGACUUUCACAUAGGAAUAACAAUUAUUGUUCAAUGUUGAUAGGAGGAAGUUGCAUAGGAGUCCUCAUCGUGUCU